rnacentral:rRNA from 1 species
UACAGAGGGGGCAAGCGUUAUUCGGAAUUAUUGGGCGUAAAGCGUGCGCAGGCGGUUUCUUAAGUCAGAUGUGAAAGCCCCGGGCUUAACCUGGGAACUGCGUUUGAAACUGGGAGACUUGAGUGUGGCAGAGGGGGGUGGAAUUCCACGUGUAGCAGUGAAAUGCGUAGAUAUGUGGAGGAACACCGAUGGCGAAGGCAGCCCCCUGGGUUAACACUGACGCUCAUGCACGAAAGCGUGGGGAGCAAACAGG